UAUUGGGCGUAAAGCGCGUCUAGGUGGUUAUGUAAGUCUGAUGUGAAAAUGCAGGGCUCAACUCUGUAUUGCGUUGGAAACUGCAUGACUAGAGUACUGGAGAGGUAAGCGGAACUACAAGUGUAGAGGUGAAAUUCGUAGAUAUUUGUAGGAAUGCCGAUGGGGAAGCCAGCUUACUGGACAGAUACUGACGCUAAAGCGCGAAAGCGUGGGUAGCAAACAGGAUUAGAUACCCUGGUAGUCCACGCCGUAAACGAUGAUUACUAGGUGUUGGGGGUCGAACCUCAGCGCCCAAGCUAACGCGAUAAGUAAUCCGCCUGGGGAGUACGUACGCAAGUAUGAAACUCAAAGGAAUUGACGGGGACCCGCACAAGCGGUGGAGCAUGUGGUUUAAUUCGACGCAACGCGAGGAACCUUACCAGCGUUUGACAUCUUAGGAAUGAGACAGAGAUGUUUCAGUGUCCCUUCGGGGAAACCUAAAGACAGGUGGUGCAUGGCUGUCGUCAGCUCGUGUCGUGAG
rnacentral:rRNA from 1 species